AACGAACGCUGGCGGCAUGCCUAACACAUGCAAGUCGAACGAGACCUUCGGGUCUAGUGGCGCACGGGUGCGUAACGCGUGGGAAUCUGCCCUGGGGUACGGAAUAACAGUGAGAAAUUACUGCUAAUACCGUAUGAUGACGUAAGUCCAAAGAUUUAUCGCCCUGGGAUGAGCCCGCGUAGGAUUAGCUUGUUGGUGAGGUAAAAGCUCACCAAGGCGACGAUCCUUAGCUGGUCUGAGAGGAUGAUCAGCCACACUGGGACUGAGACACGGCCCAGACUCCUACGGGAGGCAGCAGUGGGGAAUAUUGGACAAUGGGCGAAAGCCUGAUCCAGCAAUGCCGCGUGAGUGAUGAAGGCCUUAGGGUUGUAAAGCUCUUUACCCGGAAGAUAAUGACUGUACCGGGAGAAUAAGCCCCGGCUAACUCCGUGCCAGCAGCCGCG
rnacentral:rRNA from 1 species